GUCUACGGCCAUACCACCCUGACAAGUGUGAUCGCGUCUGAUCUCAGAAGCUAAGCAGAGUUGAGCCUGGUUAGCAGUUGGAU
rnacentral:rRNA from 1 species